UUCAGUGAAAUCGAGUAGGGCGGGACACGUGAUAUCCUGUCUGAAUAUGGGGGGACCAUCCUCCAAGGCUAAAUACUACUGACUGACCGAUAGUGAACCAGUACCGUGAGGGAAAGGCGAAAAGAACCCCUGUGAGGGGAGUGAAAUAGAACCUGAAACCGUGUACGUACAAGCAGUAGGAGCAGGCUUUGUCCUGUGACUGCGUACCUUUUGUAUAAUGGGUCAGCGACUUAUAUUCAGUGGCAAGGUUAACCAUCUAGGGGAGCCGUAGGGAAACCGAGUCUUAACUGGGCGUUCAGUCUCUGGAUAUAGACCCGAAACCAGGUGAUCUAGCCAUGGGCAGGUUGAAGGUUGAGUAACAUCAACUGGAGGACCGAACCGACUAAUGUUGAAAAAUUAGCGGAUGACUUGUGGCUAGGGGUGAAAGGCCAAUCAAACCUGGAGAUAGCUGGUUCUCCCCGAAAGCUAUUUAGGUAGCGCCUCGGACGAAUACUACUGGGGGUAGAGCACUGUUAAGGCUAGGGGAGAGGGAAACAACCCAGACCGCCAGCUAAGGUCCCAAAUUACUACUAAGUGGGAAACGAUGUGGGAAGGCUCAGACAGCCAGGAUGUUGGCUUAGAAG
rnacentral:rRNA from 1 species